rnacentral:rRNA from 1 species
UACGGGGGGUGCGAGCGUUGUCCGGAAUCACUGGGCGUAAAGGGCGCGUAGGUGGUUUGAUAAGGGUGUGGUGAAAGUCCGGGGCUCAACCCCGGAUCUGCCGUGCCGACUGUCAAACCCGAGGACUGUAGAGGCAGACGGAAUUCCGGGUGUAGCGGUGGAAUGCGUAGAGAUCCGGAGGAAGACCGGUGGCGAAGGCGGUCUGCUGGGCAGUUUCUGACACUGAGGCGCGACAGCGUGGGGAGCAAACAGG